AACGAACGCUGGCGGCAUGCCUAACACAUGCAAGUCGAACGAGACCUUCGGGUCUGGUGGCUCCCGGGUUCGUAAAGCGUGGGAAACUGCCCUUAUGUUCGGAAUAACUCCCCGAGAGGGGUUCUAAUACCGGAUACUAUCUUCGGACCAAAGAUUUAUCGCCUUUGGAUGGGCCCGAGUUGGUUUAGCUAGUGGGUAGGGUAAAAGCCUACCAAGGCGACGAUCCAUAGCUGGUCUGAGAGGAGGAUCAGCCACACUGGGACUGAGACACGGCCCAGACUCCUACGGGAGGCAGCAGUGGGGAAUAUAGGACUAGGGGCGAGAGCCUGAUCCAGCAAGGCCGCGUGAGUGAUGAAGGCCUUAGGGUUGUAAAGCGCUUUUAACCGGGAUGAUAAUGACGGUACCGGGAGAAUAAGCACCGGCUAACUACGUG
rnacentral:rRNA from 1 species